CUACGGGGUGCAGCAGUGGGGAAUAUUGCACAAUGGGCGCAAGCCUGAUGCAGCAACGCCGCGUGAGGGAUGAAGGCCUUCGGGUUGUAAACCUCUUUUAGCAGGGAAGAAGCGAAAGUGACGGUACCUGCAGAAAAAGCACCGGCUAACUACGUGCCAGCAGCCGCGGUAAUACGUAGGGUGCAAGCGUUGUCCGGAAUUAUUGGGCGUAAAGAGCUCGUAGGCGGUUUGUCACGUCUGCUGUGAAAAUCCAAGGCUCAACCUUGGACUUGCAGUGGGUACGGGCAGGCUAGAGUGCGGUAGGGGGGGUGGGAAUUCCUGGUGUAGCGGUGGAAUGCGCAGAUAUCAGGAGGAACACCAAUGGCGAAGGCACAUCUCUGGGCCGUAACUGACGCUGAGGAGCGAAAGCGUGGGGAGCGAACAGGAUUAGAUACCCGCGUAGUC
rnacentral:rRNA from 1 species